rnacentral:misc_RNA from 1 species
AGCUCGAGCAGCCAGCGACGACAACCCACGCGCACACCAACCAACAAGCCACACCGGCCCACAGGCCACAGCUCACCAGCUAGGCUAGCAACCACCUCGAUCGCAGAGGCAGAGGCCGCCGGAAGCUCAGCCGUGAAUUCGGCAGGAAGGAAAGGAAAAAGUCUUGGGUGGUUUCAACAAGAGAUAGAAGAUGGAGAAGGCAGGGCAGCACGAGCAUGUGAUCGGCAUCCCCGUGAACAACAGGGCGUUCGGUAUCGAGGAGCCAGAUUUCCCCAGCAAUGGCCCCGCCAAGAACGCAGCCGCCGGCGCCGGGGGACGGCGCCGGGUGACCGGGGACAGGGUCGCCCAAGGCCUGAAAGAGCACGUGACGCUGGGCCCGAAGCUGUACGAGACCGUGAAGGGCAAGCUGUCGCUGGGGGCGAGGAUCCUGCGGGCGGGCGGCGUGGGGAAGGUGUUCCGGCGCUGGUUCUCCUCCCCCGUCGGCGGGGGCGGCGAGCGGCUGCUCAGGGCGUCGCAGUGCUACCUGUCGACCACGGCCGGCCCGAUCGCCGGCAUGCUGUUCGUGUCCACCGAGAGGGUCGCGUUCCGGAGCGACCGCUCGCUGGCGCUGCCGCUGACGUCUCCGGCCGGCGGCGGCAGCGGCAGCGGCACGACGACGGUGCUGCGGGUGCCGUACAAGGUGUCCAUCCCGCUGCGCAGGGUCGCGGCGGCCAGGCCGGGCCAGAACAGGGACCGGCCGGAGCACAAGUACGUGCAGGUCGUCACGCGCGACGGCUUCGACUUCUGGUUCAUGGGCUUCGUCAGGUACCAGGCGUCCCUGCAGGAGCUGGAGAAGGCCGUCGCGCAGUCGCAGUCGCAAUGACCUCAGGCGAUCCGCCGGCCGGCCCGGCGAUUGUUGUGCUCCUGUGUGGUCUGCUUCAUCUGUGUGCAUAUGUAGUAGGGUUUCGGUUUUCUUGAUGAUGGAUUAUUGCUUGGCGUUUUUGGCAUUGGAGCAAGUCCGGUAUACAUUAUACAGGAGGAAAAAAUGGGAUAUUAGAUUGAUUGCGUAAUCGGUGAUGCUGAGUAAAUCUUCUACGGCGCCAGCGUAAAAGUGUCUCGGAUGAGGUUUACAUGUAACAUGUGUCAUGAAAACCACAAAUGCUUGUGCGACGAACUAGAUUGUGUGAACUGAACUCUGUUCCCAUCUUUUACAUCGAGGCAACCGCGCGUACU